rnacentral:tRNA from 1 species
AUUUAAGUAGUUUAAAAAUUGUAAAACAUUAAUUUGUGGGAUUAAUAAUAUGAUGGUAAAUUUUCAUCUUAGAUA